AUGAUAAAUUUGGUGUUACAUGAAGAGGUAAUAUUUAUCUUACACUUCUAUUGCUUUUUUUGUGAAAAAAAAAAAAAAAGAGAAUGGGAAGCUUUAACUAAUAGUUCAUUCACUCUUAAUAGAUUCAUGUGUUUGAGAAAAAAGGAGCAUCUUUCUGGACCAACAUGGAAAUCUAAGAAAACCAGGAAAAUGCUACUGAAGUUUCAUCUACUAUUUUAUCCAUUGUGCUCUAUAAAGUCAGAUUUAUGAUGCAAAAUUAAAGUAAAAUACUAGCAAGACAAUUCCAGUGUGAAGAAAGGCACUGCAUUUCAAGACUAGGGGCAAAGGGAUUAGAAUCAGCAUUGUAAAUAUUUUAAUUAUCCACUUCAUACAACUGUUGGAAUAAAAUAAUUUUGUAAACUCA
rnacentral:lncRNA from 1 species